rnacentral:rRNA from 1 species
AUUGAACGCUGGCGGCAGGCCUAACACAUGCAAGUCGAGCGAGCGGCGGACGGGUGAGUAAUGUCUGGGGAUCUGCCCGAUAGAGGGGGAUAACUACUGGAAACGGUGGCUAAUACCGCAUACCAUCGGAUGUACCCAUAUGGGAUUAGCUAGUAGGUGGGGUAACGGCUCACCUAGGCGACGAUCCCUAGCUGGUCUGAGAGGAUGAUCAGCCACACUGGAACUGAGACACGGCCCAGACUCCUACGGGAGGCAGCAGUGGGGAAUAUUGCACAAGGGGCGCAAGCCUGAUGCAGCCAUGCCGCGUGUAUGAAGAAGGCCUUCGGGUUGUAAAGUACUUUCAGCGGGGAGGCGUUACCCGCAGAAGAAGCACCGGCUAACUCCGUGCCAGCAGCCGCGGUAAUUC